rnacentral:rRNA from 1 species
CUACGGGAUGCUCCAGUGGGGAAUAUUGCACAAUGGACGAAAGUCUGAUGCAGCAACGCCGCGUGGAGGAUGACACAUUUCGGUGCGUAAACUCCUUUUAUGUAGGAAGAUAAUGACGGUACUAUAUGGAUAAGCACCGGCUAACUCCGUGCCAGCAGCCGCGGUAAUACGGAGGGUGCAAGCGUUACUCGGAAUCACUGGGCGUAAAGAGCGUGUAGGCGGAUAGAUAAGUCAGGAGUGAAAUUCUAUGGCUCAACCAUAGAACUGCUCUUGAAACUGUCAAUCUAGAGUGUGGGAGAGGUAGAUGGAAUUUCUGGUGUAGGGGUAAAAUCCGUAGAGAUCAGAAGGAAUACCGAUUGCGAAGGCGAUCUACUGGAACAUAACUGACGCUGAGACGCGAAAGCGUGGGGAGCAAACAGGAUUAGAUACCCCCGUAGUC